rnacentral:ncRNA from 1 species
AGCGACGGGGUGACGCAGGAGGGUAGGGUGAGCGUGCUGCUGGAAUAGCACGUCCAAGCCGUUAGGCUGAAGCGUAGGCAAAUCCGCGCUUCGUCAAGGCUGAGCGGUGAUGGCGAGGGAAACAUCAGUACCGAAGUCCCUGAUCCCACACUGCCGAGAAAAGCCUCUAGCGAGGCUAAAGGUGCCCGUACCGCAAACCGACACAGGUAGGCGAGGAGAGAAUCCUAAGGCGCGCGGGAGAACCCUCGUUAAGGAACUCGGCAAAAUGACCCCGUAACUUCGGGAGAAGGGGUGCCUCGCGUAGGGUGAGGGGUGACCCGAGCCCGAGGAGGCCGCAGUGAAAAGGCCCAAGCGACUGUUUAGCAAAAACACAGGUCUCUGCAAAGCCGUAAGGCGACGUAUAGGGGCUGACGCCUGCCCGGUGCUGGAAGGUUAAGGGGAAGGGUUAGCCGCAAGGCGAAGCUCUGAACCGAAGCCCCAGUAAACGGCGGCCGUAACUAUAACGGUCCUAAGGUAGCGAAAUUCCUUGUCGGGUAAGUUCCGACCCGCACGAAAGGCGUAACGACUUGGGCACUGUCUCAACGAGGGACCCGGUGAAAUCGUACUACCCGUGAAGAUGCGGGUUACCCGCGGCAAGACGGAAAGACCCCGUGGAGCUUUACUGCAGCCUGAUAUUGGGUUUGGGUACCGCUUGUACAGGAUAGGUGGGAGCCGUGGAAGCCGGACCGCCAGGUUCGGUGGAGGCGCCGGUGGGAUACCACCCUGGCGGUAUCGAAAUCCUAACCCGCGGCCGUGAUCCGGUCGGGGGACAGUGUCAGGUGGGCAGUUUGACUGGGGCGGUCGCCUCCCAAAAGGUAACGGAGGCGCCCAAAGGUUCCCUCAGCAUGGUUGGAAAUCAUGCGCAGAGUGCAAAGGCAGAAGGGAGCUUGACUGCGAGACUGACAAGUCGAGCAGGGACGAAAGUCGGGCUUAGUGAUCCGGUGGUUCCGCAUGGAAGGGCCAUCGCUCAACGGAUAAAAGCUACCCCGGGGAUAACAGGCUGAUCUCCCCCAAGAGUCCACAUCGACGGGGAGGUUUGGCACCUCGAUGUCGGCUCAUCGCAUCCUGGGGCUGAAGUAGGUCCCAAGGGUUGGGCUGUUCGCCCAUUAAAGCGGUACGCGAGCUGGGUUCAGAACGUCGUGAGACAGUUCGGUCCCUAUCUGCCGCGGGCGCAGGAAAUCUGAGAGGAGCUGUCCCUAGUACGAGAGGACCGGGAUGGACACACCGCUGGUGUACCAGUUGUUCCGCCAGGAGCACAGCUGGGUAGCUAUGUGUGGACGGGAUAAGCGCUGAAAGCAUCUAAGCGCGAAGCCCACCUCAAGAUGAGAUUUCCCAUCGCGCAAAGCGAGUAAGACCCCUCGAAGAUGACGAGGUAGAUAGGUCUGGAGUGGAAGCGCAGCAAUGCGUGGAGCGACCAGAUCCUAAUCGGUCGAGGGCUUAACCAA